UUUUUGAUCGGGAAAGUGUCAGCCAUCCGGAAAAAAUAAUUUUCCGACACGUUUCCGUCAAGUUUUCUGCCAACUAAAAAAUACGUUUAAGGUUUUUAUUUAUAACAUUGUAUUAAUUUUUGGGCGACAUGUAUGUAGUACGUCUUCUACGUAUUUGUCAGCGAAGUUAAUUCAUUUGAGUUGAACAUUUGAUGGUGGUGCACUCAAUAUUGGACAAACAUUUAUUGGUUUGAAUGCUUACCAGUUCAUGGUGGCCUCGCAGAGUAUGACGAUGAAUUCACUUUGCAUUCAGAGAAAAUUGAUGCUCAGGAUGAAGAGAAGAAACUCAUAUGCUCCUCAUUCUAUUGUCUCUACAAAUAUCGUUUUUGCUUGCCUUCAUUUAUAUCCAAAGCCUCUGCUGAGUAGGGAUUUCUUAAAACAUUAGGGUUCGUCAAAUUACAGAAGACAAAGAACCUAGCUUCUGUUUUGUUUGUGGAUAAUGGCGGAAGAAGAAUCUAUGUUUUUUAGAUACCUAUAUGUUGAAUGCACCGUUAAUCGGUAAUACACACUAGUUUAUCUUAACAAUUUUGUGGAAGGAUGCGUUGCCAUGCUCAAAAUCAUGGAGUCGUGCUGUAGUGUGAAGGACAAGUAUUUGAAGCAUAUGGAAAUGUUUGGGUUCAAAAUUUGAACUAUUUUGCAAUUUUCUUUGGCCGGAAAUUGAGAAGAUCAGAUUGAUACAAUGGCUAAGCAUAGAAUUUGCAACAUUGUUUGCCGCAGUCAUGCACCCAGUCAUCUUCAAUGCAAAAGACAUAUGGAAUCUCAGGAUACAUACGUUCUAAGACAGAAAAAUGGAUGUGCACUCUAGGCUCGUGAGAAAGGACAAAGCAAUACCAAAGUGGUGGUUUUUCAUGAUUCUUGCCUUGACUUUAACAGUCACCAUUACAUUCUGUGAUUCGUUUAAGGAUCAACGUCAAUUGCAGUGGUGGGGAGUGCUCCUUUCAUGUGGCCUUGCCAUAUUCUUCGCUCUACCAAAUGGCAUUAUAAAGGCUACUAUUGAUAAGUUAUCAAAGUCUUGCAUUUUGAAGAAGAUAAUGGUGAUCAUGUUGCAAAUUCUUGCAUAAAUGUACAUUCUUCUCUAUACUUGCAAAUCAGCGCAUCUUCCACGACCGCCUCAUAUCCCUUCCUACAGUUUGAUCUAUGUAAUACCGUAGAUGUGUGGCAGAUAUAUUCCCAAAUAUCAAUGCAAGAGAAUGCACAUAAAACUAUAGCUCUGUCAGUUCAUUGCAGGGAUAUGGGGUUUUCAAGGAUCAGAUGGAAUUUGUUAAUAACCCACAUGCCUUGACGUUUGGAUGUGGCAAAUGUUGAGAGAGUUAUGUAGUGUCUAGAAGCCUCUGGCAUAGGUUUUCCUGUUUUGCAUUUUUCAUCACAGGGGGAGCAAAAAAAAGAAGACUGUGUUGUGUAGUAGCAGAUAGCUCCAGAUUCAUGUACAUUUUUGGUUUUGGCUCAAGAGGUGUUAAGGAGAACAUAGUCAGGUCAGCUGAAAAUUGAAAUCAUGGCAAAUGACUUAUUUCAAGAUUGUGCACAAGAUUG